AAUCUUUCGGAAAGCCAUGCCCGCUGUGAUGUGGCAACGUGGAAACUUUGUUUAACACUGGUUCUAGAUAACUUGAAGUUAAUUUAAUUAAAACUUGCCAACUGUGUGCGUAACCGUGACUGUCUCUUUCGUGAGUUCCUUCUCUGAUCGAGGACACGGUGGGGUUAUGUCUGACGUAGGUAGGUGUUCAGGAUCAUUCAUUUGAUCAUCAGUAGUCACGUCUGUUAUGCAUAGACCUUCCCCCUCUUAUUUCUUGUACUCGUAAGUUUAGCCACCAAAUAUAUGC
rnacentral:lncRNA from 1 species